AACGAACGCUGGCGGCAUGCCUAACACAUGCAAGUCGAACGAGACCUUCGGGUCUAGUGGCGCACGGGUGCGUAACGCGUGGGAACCUGCCCUUAUGUUCGGAAUAACUCCCCGAAAGGGGUGCUAAUACCGGAUAAUGUCUUCGGACCAAAGAUUUAUCGCCUUUGGAUGGGCCCGCGUUGGAUUAGCUAGUUGGGAGGGUAAAAGCCUACCAAGGCGACGAUCCAUAGCUGGUCUGAGAGGAUGAUCAGCCACACUGGGACUGAGACACGGCCCAGACUCCUACGGGAGGCAGCAGUGGGGAAUAUUGGACAAUGGGCGAAAGCCUGAUCCAGCAAUGCCGCGUGAGUGAUGAAGGCCUUAGGGUUGUAAAGCUCUUUUACCCGGGAUGAUAAUGACAGUACCGGGAGAAUAAGCUCCGGCUAACUCCGUG
rnacentral:rRNA from 1 species